rnacentral:lncRNA from 1 species
GGGCAGGGAGCAUGGUACAGGGGUGACUGAGUUCCUGCUUUGUUAGUUCCCACUGAAACUGAUUGACAAAAAGGGCCUGGCACCUCUCUCUUCUCUCUCUUUCUCUCUCUCACCAUGUGAUCUAUGCAUGCCUGUUCCCGUCUGCUUGCACUAAGAAUGGAAACAGCCUAAGUUCCUCACCAGAAGCAGAGGCUGGCACCAUGUUUGUUAUGCAGCCUGCAGAACCGCUGGGGACAGCUCUCUGAAAAUAGGAAUAAAUAGUGGCUCCUCGAUAAACACCUUCUUGCCUACAGCAUGUGUGACUGCAAACACAUUCCCACUUCAACUAAUCCAAGACGAGAAGGAUGACAAAAUAAGAGAAAUCAUGGGAAAAACUGCCCAUUUCUGUUUUGUCCACUUUGCUUUGGGAAGUGAGAGCUAUAGUCAUUAUCACCACAUCCCCUGGCAUCCAAUUCCGACAAUGAUCUCUGACCUUGCCACUAAGAGUAAAAAAAUGUGCUGAACACCUUUACUGGGAUACUAGUCACUGAUUAAUAAUUCAAUUCCAGCUUUCCUGGAAGCCAGAAGUCAAAAUAUACUUGGGAUUUCUAUAAAUAUUUUUUAAUUAUGACCAUCGAACUCCAAGUACUUCAGAUUUGGAACUCGGACUGCUUUCCUUGCUCCUCAGCCUGCAGAUGGCCUAUUGUGGGACCUUGUGAUUAUGUAGUGAGACGAGCAUGAGUGGAGCAGGAGACGGCUGUCCCCCACCCACAAGGAAUAUCAGAUGAUGGUUCAGCGAUCAUCACAUUGCCUCUCUGAAAGUGAUAAAUUGGCAGCUGGCACCAGGGAGAGGCUAUUUCCUGAUGGCCCACACCUGUUGCACUAAGAUGUUAAUCGAAUGCAGAUUCCAGGGAGAAACAACUUCCUGGGCAUGUGCGUAAGAGACAAAAUGGCAGUAAAAAUUAGAGAAUGAGAUCAGAAUAUGGAUACAUUGCAAGAGGUGGAGCCCUGGAACAAAAGUAAGAGAUUAUGCAGUGUCACUCCCCAGACAUCUAUAAAGAUUUCUACUGAACAAGUCAGCCAUCGAAGCAGAUUAUUCACCAUCUGUGGUCAUCAAUUCCAAAGGAAUUUUUGUUUCUGGUAAUGGCCAAAUAAGCAUCUAUAUGAAUAUUUUCUACAGAUAAUAAAUAUAAACUGUGAACAAAUGUAAAAAGAAAAAAAAAAGACCAGCCAAAGGCACUGGAAAUGACCCUAAAAGAGCAUAUUCUGAAGAGUAGUCUACAAUAGAAAAGGGAAAAUGACACUGACUGAGUCUCUCAUUUACUUUAGCUGUUAGACUAAAGGCAGUUCUAAACCAUGCCAUGGAUAGUAGCCAAAACUGCGAUAGAAAGGGCAUUGUCUUUCUGAUUUUAAAGGUGUACUAGAAGAGAGAGUUUGGGACAACCAUAGCUGCUAGUAAGUGAGAAUACACACUGCACAGGAAAAGAGCCAGAAAAAGAGAAGGUCGCCAACUUGAAAUUAUAAACUGUGUCCAUGUUUUUAGAAUAAUGACUUUGUGGAUCUGACUCCAAGCAAGUCACCUAAGGAUAAAAUAACUGAAGCAAGACUUCAGCUGCCACACAAAGAUAGAUUUUGCAGAGGUGUGAUUUCAACCAAGUAAAUUACAUUACAGACUAAAUAGAAAUAAAAGAUUCAGAAGAAGAUUACAAAACUCAUGAUCUCCAAAAGAUAAUAUUCAUAAUUUCCAACAUGCAUCCUAAAUUACUCCAAAACAUGAAUAAAGAAGAAUGUUUUUUAUUCUCAAGAUAAAUGAAAAUCAACAGAGACUGACAGCAAAAUGACUCAGAUGUUGGAAUUGGCACAACAAAGAUUUUAAAGGAAUUAUGCUGAGUGAUGUAAAGGAAAAUAUGUUUGAAAUGAAUGAAAAAUUAAGAAAUCACAGCAAAGAGAUAGAAAUUAUAAAAAAUGACUACAUAAAGACAGUAAUAAGGUGUCUUUUCAAUUUAUAUGGAAGUACAAAGUUCUAGCAUAUUCAAAGCAAUUCUGAAAAAAAGCAUAGUUUAAAGCAAUUCUAAAAAAGAAUAGCAUAGUUUAACUAUAAUAAAUGUUUUCAAGAAUAUUAUAAAGCUAUAGGAAUCAAAAUAAUAUGGCAAUGAUGUAAAGAUUGAUUAGCAAAGCCAUAGAAUAAAAUUUGAAGCCCAGAAAUAGAUUUGCACAUAUUGGGGGGGUUAUUUAACUUUUUACGAAUAUAUUAAAGCAAUUCAAUGAAUGUGCAGGGAAGGAGUAAUUCACAUGCCUGGGUUGCUCAAACCCUGUAUAUUUCCCAUAAGCAUCUUUCUUCAGGGUGGGCCCUUGGCUGGCUCCUCAAAAAUGAGCUCCGAGGCUCUGGAAUAUUCUGCCUGAGAAGAGUGCUUCUGUAUGUCUGACACCUCCGUCCAUGUGGUAAAAAUAAUGUUCAAACUGUUUACACUAAUUAUGUGUUUUAUUGUGAACAACUGUUUUUGUAAGCCUGAGACUUUAGAUUACAAAGUACAAGUUUAAAUGGGUAGUUUUUGUUAACAAUGAGAUUUAUGGUAAGUGUAUGAGGAACUAAAAUCUCAACAGCUGAGGACAGUUAUACAGGUGCUGCAUGCCUACGUGACUGACCCCUAAUAAAACCUCUGAAGACCAAGGCAAGAUUGAGCUUCCUGACUGGAAAUACAUCACAUGUAUUGCCACACAUCAUUGCUGGGAUAAUAAAGCACAUCCAUAGGACUCCACUGUGGGAGGACACCUAGAAGCCCAUGCUUCAUGUCUUCUAGACUUUAUCCCAUGUACCUUUACAAUUUGCUAAUUUUAAUGUGUAUCUUUUCAUUGUAAAAGACACUAAACAUGGAGAUAGUAGGUUUUUCUGAGUCUAGAGAAUCUUCAUUCUCUAGAAUGAAGUGGUAGUGGUCAUGAGGAGUCUCUACCCAUAAAUAAAACAUAUUUUUAAUGAAUGAUACUGAAAUAACUAUAUUUAUAUGGAAAAAAUGAAUCUCCACCCAUAACUCACAAUAUACCUAAAAAUAAUUCAAAAUGAAUUAUUGACCGAAACAUAGAAGCUUAUACAAAAGAUUUUCAGAAUAAAAUAUGGAAGAAUGACUAUUUGACAUAGAGCUAGGCAAAGUUUUCUUAUAGGUAGAUAAGAUACAGGACAAAUGAUGACAUAUGGAAAAAAUGAUAUGUUUGACUUUACCAAAAACAAAUCAUCAGUGAAUCAAAAUACUCACAAAAUACAACUCCUACAGCAAAACAUUAUAAAGACAAACAACCUUUUAAAAUGGGAAAAAUGUUUGAACACACAUUUUAUACAUUAAGAUGUAUAAGUGGAUAAUAAACACAUAAAAACUGUUCAGCAUCACUAAGUAAGUAGGGAAUGGUACAUUAAAGCAACAUUGUGAUAUCAUUACACACCCUCUAGGAAUGGCUAAAAUUAAAAAGACUGAAAACAUCAAAUUUUGGCAAGGUUAGGGCCAAUUAAAAUUUUCAUACAUUGCUGGUAAAAAUGAAAAUGUCACAACCACUUUGGAAAAAAUUUUUAAAAUUUUUUACAAAACUUCAUAUAGAUCCAUUAUAUGACCCAACCAUUCUACUGCUAGACAUACACUCAAAAUGAAGAAACACGUACAAAAAGAUUUCUACAAGAAUGAUUUUAGCAGCUUCACAACAAACCAGGUGUUGGUCAAUAGGAAGAUGAAAAAUCAAAAUAUAGUAUAGCUAUAAAAUACAAUAAUAUUUAGGAUAAAAAUAAUAAAUGCAUGUUAUAACUAAUAAUAUCAUGACUGAAUCUCAAAAAUAUUUUGCUGAGUUAAACAAGCUUUGCACAAAGUAGUAUAUUAUGUAUGAUCCCAUGUAUAGAAAUAUCUAGAAUAAGGAAAAACAAAUUAUGAUAGAAAAGAUGUUGCUUCUGGUGAUUGGGUGGAGCUCUGAUGGACUGGGAAGGAGCAUGAGGGAGCUUUGUGGGUUGAUGGUAAUUUAUGUACCCUGACAGGGGUUUGGUUUACAUAGCUGUAUUCAUUUGUCAAAACUUAUAUUAAAUGGUGCAAUUAAUAUUGAUGCAUUUCAUUGUAUGUAAAUUUUACCCUAAAAUAAUUUUAGACAAAUUGUAAAACCUAGUUAAAGACAUAUAUGCUGAUAUUUUCAGGGUUACCUCUCUUGAUGUCUGCAACUUACUUUGAAAUGCUUCAAAAGGAAAAUAGGAUAAUGGAUGGAAAUAGGGAGAGAGAAAUGGAUCGAUGUGUAAAUAAAACAAAUCUAUCUAAAUGUUAAAGCUUAAUUGUAGAUGAUGAAUGUAGGAGUGUUGAAUGUUAAAUUCUUUCAACUUUUAUGUUGAAAAAUCGUCAUAAUAAAAUAUUUGAAAAAUGUAUACAUUGAAAUAUUACAGCAAGUAUACUAUUUUUACUGUGAUUUUGGAACUGAAGUUACUAUUACUGAUAGUAUACUGAAGUAUACUAUUUUUACUGUGAUUUUGAAACUCAAGAUAAUUUCCUGAAGAAAGUUUUUUGACAAUUUUACUUUUGAAAAUUCCCAUUGAUCUGUUAGUUAUCUUCAAAACGUCUGGAGAAAAGUCAGGAUAUAUAUAUAACAGCAAAUGGGCAAUUUCUACUGUUUUCAUUACUUUGGUUUUAGAAUUGCCACUACUGCUUGCUUAAUAUUUAAAAUUUGCUGGUCUUAAAGCAACAGUCUAUUUUCCAAUCUUGGGGAAGAUUAUGGUCGUAUAAUAUACCAGAUGGACGCAUUAGUACUGUUAAAAAAAAAGACUAGUUGCCUAUAUGAAUUGCAAACUUAAUAAAGAAAAUGAACUAGGAAGAAUGAAAUAAAAAGUUCUAUUAGGUUUAUUAUAGUCUACAAUGUUCUCACUGUCCAGAAAUAGUCUACUGGAAUUUGGAGAUAUUUCAUCAUUAUGCCCUUAUAUUGUCCCUAUUCCUUCUGUUUAAAUUUUUAUAAUAGCUCUUUAAAAUACGUUAGUUGUUACCACCUUUUAAUCUAUCUCUAUUUCAUGCAAGCAAUAAGAUAAAUGACUAAAUGAGCUCAAUUUAACAACAUUGUAGGCAUAUUCUCACACUUUAUCUUAUAGAUCAUCUUAACACACUCAUUGCACUUCACUGAAAUACCAUGCCUAGUUCUUAAUAUCAUUUCUAAACUUAAUAAGGAACAAGUCAA